AUACGUAGGGAGCGAGCGUUGUCCGGAAUUACUGGGCGUAAAGGGCGCGUAGGCGGCGCUUCAAGUCGUCUGUCAAAUGGGAGGGCUUAACCCUUUUUCGCAGACGAAACUGGAGAGCUUGAGAAGCAGAGAGGCAAACAGAAUUCCUGGUGUAGCGGUGAAAUGCGUAGAUAUCAGGAAGAAUACCAGUGGCGAAGGCGGUUUGCUGGCUGCAUACUGACGCUAAAGCGCGAAAGCCAGGGGAGCAAACGGGAUUAGAUACCCCGGUAGUCCUGGCAGUAAACGAUGUAUGCUGGGUGUGAGACUAGCGAUAGUUUCGUGCCGAAGUUAACGCGAUAAGCAUACCGCCUGGGGAGUACGGUCGCAAGAUUGAAACUCAAAGGAAUUGACGGGG
rnacentral:rRNA from 1 species